GGGAGCUGUAAGUGAUGUAACCUCACAGCCUCCUCAACGAUGGGAGUGUCUGGAUGCACGUUUGCAGCAUGCGAUGGCACGGCGCGCGGCAAGUAACCCUGCAAAUGCAUGAAUGUGACCAAACGUCAUGGCUGCAGGGAAGGCUGUUCUUGUGGCUUCCUCUACCCGGCGGCGACGCGGGACCUCGCACUGGCAGACUCAAGCCUGUUUCCGUGCUCUACGUGGGGAAGCCUCACCGAAAUCGGUGCUCGUUUGAGGAAGAGGAGGUGGCUCACUGCGGGAUACCAGCAUGCAGCAGCAAUGACCUUGGCUGGGGAACCAUCUCCUGAAUACAAAGAUGGAUAUAAACGCAGUAAUUCCCUUUUUUAAAAAAAACAACCAGUCUUCUGCUAAGGUAGGGAAAGGCGGUGGUUUGUUAAAUAAAUGCCUGUCAGAGCUGGAUUUUUUUUUCCCCAGCUUCCCUAAAUGCCCUUCACCAGCAGAGAGGGGGAGGGGACCCACUCUUUGAAGCCUUUUCCUUAUGGGAAUAGAAAACACGGAAAGAAUUCAAUUCUCUGCCACAGCCCAGCAGCACCGAUACACGCUUCAAAAACCAAAGCCCAGCAGACAAACUGGCUGGUGGGUGCGGGUGGCUCGGAGCCUGUAUUACCACCAGCUCAGCCUUGCUCAAUAUCCAGCAUCAUUAAGUGUUCCUCGUACUGUUAAAAGCACAGAAAGAAGAGGGGAAGAAAUGGAGACUGGGGAAGAAAAAUUAGGAAAUUCUGUGCAGAAAAGAACUGCAGUUAUUUGAAUCUUUGAUGCAAAGCACCAUCUAGUGAAGAAAAGGAUCACUGCAGCUGGCGUCACUCAGCAGCUGCAUCCACGACAAAUGGAAUUUGACUUUCAUCACAGGUUUGCCUACUAAAAAAAAACCCCAAAUAUCACCAUAUGCACAACCCGCGCUAUAUCUGAGUGAACAAGAACAUGUCUCAAAAUUGCUACCCUCUGUGUAAAUAUUUCUCCAGUGGAAAUGUGUUCUCCCCCUCCCAUCAUCUCCCACAGACUCUCAGCCACCCCAAAACCCACAGGGAACGAGGCGCCACAGGAAGAGAAUGAUUUCCAUGUUAUAAUUUGGGAGCUAAGGAAAAGAAAAGGUAAGUGACUGGUCCAAGGCCAUGCAGGAAGCCAGAGGCAGAUCCGGGAAUAGAGAUCGGCCAGCCUGGACCCAGGGAUGCCUGAACAAUAGCACAGCCUCUCCCUCUGGUGUCAUUUAACUCUUUCCUAACCCACCAAAAAGCAGGAGAGGGGUCAGCUAUACACUUCCCUGCAUAGGUGCCUGCUGCCCUGUAGCUCUCAGGGGCCCAGCACUCAGACCUUACCUGCUUUUACCACUGUGAAACAAAGAGAGAAGGCAGCAGGGAGAGACAGGGCUGGAUAUCCUGAGAUCAGCAAAGCUGCACUUAGGAGAUAUUUCUAUACACUGGGCCUGAACUGUCCGCUCAACAAUUAAGGCAAUGGAAAUGGUACCUCAGCUUCGCCACGUCUCUAUUUCCGUGUGUGACAGAACAUCGCUGUGUCCCCCGGAGGCGUUCAGCUCAUUAAAUGGUUGUGUGGUGGAUGUUUUGAGGAUUUUUAUUUGAAGGAAGAGAGAGGAUAUUGCUCCCUUUUCCCUGGCUUUUGCGUUAGCUGCGAAGAUCGGGGAUUUGCAGCACGAUCAUAGAUCAGAAAUGCAGUCUCACUACGUCUACACUGUUUUCAUACCGAGCUUGGAAAUGCUGCAGUGCAGAGGCUGGAGAAAACUAAUUAUAAACAACAGGAACCAAACCUCACAGAAUCUAUCUCAAACAAUAAAAAAAUACUUGGGUGAUGCAAAAGCCUGUGACCUGAACCUACAGCAAAAUUCUCCCAAAGAGCGGAGAGACGAGUGACCAGGUGUCCAGCACAAGUUCUCCAAAAGGAGUUUGAUGUCCAUCAGAGCCCAGUUCCAACCAGAACGAGAAUUGCUGCAAAAAUCAAGACCAUCUUCUUGGUUGCACUGCCUAGAAGGGACACAGACGACUGAUCCGCACAGAGCUGCAGGGGCAAAGAACAGAAAAGGCCUCAAGAAGCCCUUUUUUCCUCUAUUUUCUACCUUAGGUCUCUGUUUCUUCCCCUAACUCCCUAGUCUGUUUUCAUUCACCCCUAUAAACCCAACCUAUGAGAGCAGGGAGGGGAGGAGGAGAGUCUGCACUUUGAUAUCAAAGGCUGAGACAAGAAAUUCUUUAAUCAUGCCCCAGCCCUUUGAACAUUUACAUUUUCCAGCCAAAGGCACAGUGAAAUUGGGAGCUUUCAGUUCACACUAGUUCAAGGAUGUUUUUCCCAGGGGAAGGUUUUUGUUACUCUGUGGGGAUUUCUGCACAGAUCGUUGCUCUCAGGGUAAGCAACCAAAGCUUUUCCUAAGACAGAAGCUCCAUCUUAUACUCCUUGAAAAAAAAGGUGACAAGUAAGAGCCUGGAAGAAGUAGAGCACAAAAUUGUUGCCUUAGAGAACAGGGUUAAAAGGCUGUAGAUGUGCAUUCAGUGAUGCUUGCACUAAAGCAGAUGUCACCAAACACAAGUGCAAAUAGUUCCUUGAGUCUGGAGAUGGUUUUUGUCCCCCCAAAGAAGAGCUCUCACACUUCGGCGAUAGAACAGCAGGAUGUUUGUCAAGGAAGUGUUAAAAUGCUAAAAGGAUUCCAGCCCUUUGCAGUUCUGUCUUGACACAGUGAGAAUGAAUGAGGCUGAGCGCUAAUAAAAACAACAGGCGGAGUUUUAGAAGACUGGAUCAACAUUUACCAGUAUCGUCUCCAAAACAAAAGUCCUCGAUUUAAGACAGACUCCCCUGCAAUGUUCCUGUGAACAAAGGCACGUUGUCAUAACUCAGCCACCCAACUGCCCUCCAAUGUGCAAUGUGUGAAUCAGCAGGUUUAAAUUGACGCUGAAUUUGUUGCUAAUUACACUGGGUUAACCUAAGAAAAUAGAUUCCCGAUCAAAGCAACAAAGACAAGCCUCAGUUCGAUUAAUUUCCUCCUCUAAUUGCAACUCCAGCCUAACCCUUUGCUCUGUGAUUUGCUGCUCACAGUUCUCUGCAGGGCAAGUGGUUUCAAUCGACUUUGCCAGUCUGGUGACAGACUAUUCCCUGUUAAAAUAAACAGGCUGGCAGAUAGCAGGGAAAUAACCACAGGAGCUUGGACAGAGCUCGUGGGCAACCGUUGCCUUGUAAGAAAGAGAACGCACCAGGUUACAGCUCACCCUGCCCUGCUUUGGUGGGGAAAAUGGUCUGAACUGGCUUUUUCCAGCUCUGAUUUUCAGAAGACUGAACUGGCUUCCAGUAAGGUCACCAUGACAUAAACUACCUGAUCUGGGUUUUAUUUUUCAGUUUCAUUUGUGUAAAUAAAAUUAAUGAUUCUUUCA